rnacentral:tRNA from 1 species
UCCUCCGUGGCGCAAUUGGCUAGCGCGUCUGACUGUUAAACCAAUUCGGUUCGGCGAUCAGGAGGUUCGUGGUUCGAGCCCACGCGGGGGAG